rnacentral:misc_RNA from 1 species
GAUGAAGAACGUAGCGAAAUGCGAUAAGUAAUGUGAAUUGCAGAAUUCAGUGAAUCAUCGAAUCUUUGAACGCACAUUGCGCCCGUCAGUAUUCUGGCGGGCAUGCCUGUUCGAGCGUCAUUACGCCCCUCAAGUCCCCUGUGGACUUGGUGUUGGGGAUCGGCGAGGCUGGUUUUCCAGCACAGCCGUCCCUUAAAUUAAUUGGCGGUCUCGCCGUGGCCCUCCUCUGCGCAGUAGUAAAACACUCGCAGCAGGAGCCCGGCGCGGUCCACUGCCGUAAAACCCCCCAACUUUUUAUAGUUGACCUCGAAUCAGGUAGGACUACCCGCUGAACUUAAGCAUAUCAAUAAGCGGAGGA